CCCACCUUGCUUGCUAGUUGUUACCCCGUGUGAUAACUGAUAAGCAGUUGUUCAUUACAUCAUAUUUUGUGAUUCUUCUGCUUUCGAAGAUAAUACUUUGUAUCAGCGAAGACACAGCAAAGUGCUUAACGCAGUAUGUGGUGUCAUGAUCUCAUCAGCAUAGCCAUCUGCGCGAAUAACACGCCUCUUCAUAUCUUGCAUAACUAAUGAGCUAAUGCAUUUCUAUGAAAUCACUGGACGGAAAGUGCGGGGAGGGAAUUCAGUGGAUGUACUUCUGGAUGGUCAGGGCCCGCUGCAGCAUGGUAGCGUAGCCAGUGCGAGGGCUGGGCUAGGCGGACACGGCCCGCGCUAAAGCUCGGACUUGGAUUCGGAGUUGGAUUACUUAAACUUGGACUUGGAUUACUCAAACUUGGACUUGGGUUCGGAGUCGGAUUACUUAAACUUGGAGUCCGAUUCGAACGAUCCUAUAGAGAGCGGAUGCCGCUCUGACACGAGCAUCGUAGAGAACGGCGUCAUAGUGGACUUUCAUUGUACCGGCCAGCGUUCGGUGUUCGUGGAAUUCGGGAAUAUCUUCGGUGCAUGGUUGUGCGAUGAGCAGCUCUGGUUAAACUCUCCUUUCCCCGAGACGUGGAAAUAGGAAAUUACCGGUUGCCCGAUAUACCCUAUGGACGGGUCAUUCUGAGCGCAAUCCCGAAGGCCAGUGACUGUGGUAAUUAGGUAAACUGCUCAUGUACUCUGUACAAGCUCGAGCACGCUGAGGAUUAUGCUUUCGUGAAAUCCAGUUCGGCGGAACGACGACGCCUGGGCUGCUGCCGCAGAAUCAGGUAACGUUUCCGCCGUCCGAAGAUCAGAUGCAACGGCGUAUGAUUUAGCAUGGAGAAUUUGCUCUGCGCUCCAUCCCUCCGCUGAAGGGAUUAACUGGCAGUGCAUCAAACCGGCGAUAUUCGCAGCGUUUCUUUAUGGAAGCGAUAACAAGUUUGGUGGGCGAUGCAUUAAAUUUUGUGCCCUUUUGUUUUUUUUUUUGGGCACACCGACAACUCGCUGACGGUCAUCUUGCUGACCGACAACUUGCUGACCCGACAGAUUGUUGAAACAACAAAUCGCUAAACCAAAAUUUGCUGAACGACAGUUCGCUAACACUGACGAUUUGCUGACGACAUUUUGCUGACUGACAGAAUGUUUACCCGACAACUUGCUUACUUACUAAAUUGUUGACCGACAUUUUACUGACGGACGUUUUAUGGAAAUACCGACAACUCGCGGACCACAAAUUUAGUCUGUUACCAAUCAAAUCUUUGUAAGACCCAGUUUGGGUGAUUAUGACCGGAUACCACAACCACUUCUCCUGCUGUUAUCAGGUGCCAGCUUAUGCAGCAAUCUGACAAUUCCAGUCGUCCAUUUUUGUCCUUUUUUCUGCUCGAGCGCGUACGAGUGAAUUUCAUAAAAAAUCUAUGAAACAGAAGAAAACUAUGAAACCAAAGAAACCUAAGACACCUAAGAAAACCUCAGAAACCUCUGAAACCUAAAGAAACCUAAGAAACCUAAGAACCCUAAGAAACCUAAGAAAUCUACAAAACCUAAGAAACCGGUUUAAUUAUUAAAAUAUUUUAAACAGUUAUUAAUAAAUAAUUAAUAUUGACUGAGACGAUAACAUACUCGUGAACUUGAUACGGCGUAAUAAAUUGCAAAAAGUUAUAUUUCAGUUAUAACUGUCAUAGUAUUGCUUCCUUUUUGUGAAACCAACGAAGAAUCUAGUUUUCGCGUAAAUAUCGCUAAUGUGCGUUGAACUGGUUAGCCAAUUGACGGUCAGCAAGUUUUCGUCUUCUACAAGUUGUCGGUCAGCGAGUUGUCGAUCACCGACAUUUCGCUGACCGACAAGUAAGCUGUCGUUCAGCAAAUUAGUUUUUGCAAGAUGUUCGUCAGACAAUUUGUAUAAAAGCUAACUGUCGGUCAGCGAUUCGUCGGUCAGCAAAUUGUGGUAGUCAGCAACAAGUCGGUCAUCAAAUUGUCAAUCAGCGAAAUGAAGGUCAUAGAGUUGUCGUGCUACCGUAUAGGGCAUAUACAUUUAUCCGAUAAGAGGUUUUCAUGAGACCGCUCAGCGAGCAACAUUUCCGAAUAAUGAUUAAGAUCUCGAACCCUUUGUAGAAAUAAAAUAAAAACUACAGCAAAACCAAACGAAUUAGGCAUAACACUGAGCGGUGUCAAAUGCCUUUCUAUAAUGUAGAAUGCAAAAAUGCCCUUGUUCAAAUCAAGGGAAAAAAUGCUCUCAUUUCUGUUCAAAGCUUUCUUAAUGUACCUUCAUCAACGAAAGCAGAAUCAUGGUAAAAUCCGCUUGUUUUCUAUAGUUUGCGAUACUAAGGCUACGAUACGAUACUUUCCGGUUCCGAUACGUUACGAUUCCGAUUUUGGCUGAAAUUAUGUAUAAUCACGAAGUUUACAAUACGAAGUUUACGAUCUGUAGUUACCGAUCGGAAUCGGAUAGUUUACAAACCCUUUUUCUCGUUAUUUCGAAAAUAGUCUACAAAAAUGUAAGGAUCGGAAAGGAUGGUGCCGCAUAAGAAUCAGAAAAAGACAAUUUAUUCUGAGUGUGUUGCAGACAACAUUGCAACACAUAAACUCGUAUAUUACAGAGAGGUAUGCAGCGGUAAUCGGUAUUCUGGCGCUUUGGCCUUUGGGUAUCGAUUACCUUUCUUAUCGCCGUCUUAUACGUGUCUGAUAAGCUUGUGCUAGUGCUUAUUUAAGACUUCGUAGCACUGAGCAGUAACUAUCGAAAUGGUUAUACUGUAUUUAUACAUAAUUUCUGGCAAAAUCGGAAUCUUGUUAAGUAAUGUCAGCCUGACUAAUCUACAAAGGACUUCGUUCUGGAACACAGAUGAGGUUUUCUUUGGUAGCACUGUUUCGGCUAUUGUUUACUACUUAUUUGGUACUCCAUAAGCUGGCGUUACAGCUUUCUUGCUAGAUUUCCGAAGAUUUCCGUAUCCUGUUUGUCCGCUACAUCCACGGAAAAAACCUGCGUUCGAUCCAGCUAAUUUUAAUUGCACACACAGACGCUUAAUAAUAAACAUAAGUGGAAAAUGCAUUUUUAUGAAAUCCACGAGCGGAAAGCGCGGGAUUGGAAUUCCGUGUUUGUGCGGAUGGAUAAGCACGGCCCACUGCAAAAUGGCAAUGUCAUCAACGUCGUGGAGAACGGCCUCAUCGUUUCGUGCGUUCCAUUCCUAUGCCGGAAAAAUACUGGCAGUGUGUCACACCGGCGGUACCGUAGAGUUUUCUAUCCAAAUGGAGGAGUAUUUUGAUGCGCGAUGCAUAAGUUUACGACGAUAGGAUGGUGUAUUUGCAGUGCAACACAAGAAGCCCGAUUUCGGCCACCGAACUCGUAAUUUUCCUUAUGCAGUUUGUAUAAAAUAUAAACAGAUACCGUUGUGGACGGUUAAAAUGCCCGUCGCUUCUUCCUUGGAUUGUUAGGUACACUCACUUAAAAAGCAUGUAGCGUAGUUGAAUAAGCAGAUCCCUAUUUCCUUACAUCCUAUCAGAACUAGAAGAAUUGAAGUACCAGAAAUCCCGACAAUGGGCCAGAUUCUGUUUGAUUCUAGACCGAAAUCUCAAAAAGCUAGAGAAUGACAUCAUCACAUUAGUGGCCGCUGCGCUUAAAAACUAGCAGAAAUCUGGGCAAUUUCCACUAUUCGUACGUCUCAUACAACUUUAUAACUGCCCUCGUACAUACGUAAGCGGCACCGCAGCUACAGACACAACAUAAGCAGUUCUUAUAAACAAAGUUUUUAGCUUUGUACGUUUACAUUGAUCAUCGUAUCAUAGUGAAGACUGCUGAAUGCUACAUACGGGAUGCCAGCUUAACGUUUCCGCCUAGGCGGAACAUUUCCAAAGAGCACAACAUGAGGCCGGUAAGCACACCAAAUAUGGAGAGGAAUACCGACCCAGCUGGUACCCUCCGCCACUAAAAAUCAAGUUAGAGAACCCGGUUGCCGUCGGUAUUCCGUUGCCACGCCUUCUUCUAGUAGAGAUUUUCCAGUCACUGGAUACCAUUGGUCGCCAGCGGUGUCGACGCACCUGCCACGCGUUUUAGACCAUUCUGACGUCAGCCGAACUGUGCAGCGAUGUGCGGGUGUCGUUUCAUCACAGCGCCCUCAUGUUGGAGUGGUCGCGCGGGUUUUUGACUUAUUACGCGGUAUACAGCUGCCUUCUUAAGCACCUGACGCCGGCCACGCGCACCAUUCUUUUCCUGGACGAUGACCCCGACUGGCCGGAAACUCGCGACUGGAGCGACGGGGUGACUAUGUGCCUACAGGAUUUGCUGGGUGCAACCGGUCGACGCAUCCACGGGAUGGCCUUCUGCCGGCGCCUCAUCGACACGCGAAGCCCACACACGAGUCUAGCGGAGCGUUUCGAAUAUAGGGCGAAGUUCUUCCUCGGAUUGGCUUCGUGUUGCAGCAGAAUCGUUUUCAAAGACGUGACAUGGCAAGAAGAAUGUAAAGAACCGCAUAUCCAGCAUACUGUGCUGGUUUUAAAAACGUGCACUCCUUCGCAACUGUGGGAAAUUUUUGAAGCGCACCUGCAAGGUCCUGUGGAUUUUACAGGCGUCGGGAAGUGGAUGGCGGAUGGGCAGUGGUCGGAUAAAUACGACGAAAUUGUUCGGAUUGGUGGUGCGUAGAUCCUGCAAACCUACCAGAGCGUUGAUCUACGUCCGAUGACUAAUUUUCGAGAUUGGAGAUGGACGCUGGACGAUGUAAAAAGUCUGGAUGUUAGCAAGCUAAACCGCAUCACCUUAGCUGUUCUGCAAAGAAAAUGGGCGCAUGGACCGGGAACUCCAAGAGCUCCAAAUGAAAAUUCAAAAAAGGCUGAAACCGAAAGAAUAAAAAAACCGACAACUUCUGUUUGCAACAAUAUCAACUUACUGUUCUAAACGACUACAGACUCUGUAUCGUUGUUUAUUAUUUCGCCAACAUCAAAGAUUGGCUAACGUUUGUAAUUCCGUUGUUUUGCAUUAUAAUUUCCGUACUGGGCUCUAAAGCGUUAUAGCAAUAAGCCAAGGUGAACACCGUCGACUGAGCUACUUUAAAAGGGUUGAUUUGAAGGUAUGUAACCAACUUACCGAGCAUAUAUAUUUAUUUAAA